rnacentral:rRNA from 1 species
CGGGUGCACUGAUCCAGCCGGGCCUUUCCCUCUGUGGAACCCCAUGGCCUUCACUGGCUGUGGUGGGGAAACAGGACUUUUACUUUGAAAAAAUUAGAGUGCUCCAGGCAGGCCUAUGCUCGAAUACAUUAGCAUGGAAUAAUAGAAUAGGACGUGUGGUUCUAUUUUGUUGGUUUCUAGGGACCGCCGUAAUGAUUAAUAGGGACAGUCGGGGGGCAUCAGUAUUCAAUUGUCAGAGGUGAAAUUCUUGGAUCUAUUGAAGACUAACUACUGCGAAAGCAUUUGCCAAGGAUGUUUUCAUUGAUAAGGAACGAAAGUUAGGGGAUCGAAGACGAUCAGAUACCGUCGUAGUCUUAACUAUAAACUAUGCCGACUAGGGAUCGGACGAUGUUAUUCUUUGACGCGUUCGGCACCUUUCGAGAAAUCAAAGUGCUUGGGGCUCCAGGGGGAGUAUGGUCGCAAGGCUGAAACUUAAAGAAAUUGACGGAAGGGCACCACCAGGGGUGGAAACCUGCGGCUUAAUUUGACUCAACACGGGGAAACUCACCAGGUCCAGACACAGUGAGGAUUGACAGAUUGAGAGCUCUUUCUUGAUUCUGUGGGUGGUGGUGCAUGGCCGUUCUUAGUUGGUGGAGUGAUUUGUCUGCUUAAUUGCGAUAACGAACGAGACCUUAACCUGCUAAAUAGCCCGUACUGCUUUGGCAGUUCGCCGGCUUCUUAGAGGGACUAUCGG